rnacentral:tRNA from 3 species
GGAGACGUCGCAUAGCCCGGUCGAGUGCGCCUCACUGCUAACGAGGUAAGGUAGAAAUACCUUCGGAGGUUCAAAUCCUCUCGUCUCCGCCA